rnacentral:rRNA from 1 species
CCCUAAAUCUUGACACUUCCUAGACUAAAGUGUCCGCCUGAGAACUACGAGCACAAACGCUUAAAACUCUAAGGACUUGGCGGUGCCUCAAACCCACCUAGAGGAGCCUGUUCUAUAAUCGAUAAUCCACGCUACACCCAGCCGCUCUUUGCUUGCUCAGCCUACAUACCGCCGUCGCCAGUCCACCUAUCUUGAAAGAAUAAUAGUGGACACAGCAGCCCCAACCACGCUAAAAAGACAGGUCAAGGUAUAGCCCAUAGAGCGGAAGAAAUGGGCUACAUUUUCUACUCUAGAAAAUUACGAAAGGGGGUAUGAAAUUAUCCCUAGAAGGCGGAUUUAGCAGUAAAGUUGAACCACAAUGCCAUCUUAAAGCCGGCCCCGGGGCACGUACAUACCGCCCGUCACCCUCCUCAUGAGCUACUAACAUAAGUAACUAACUCCAACUUCUAGCCAAAGAUGAGGUAAGUCGUAACAGGGUAAGUGUACA